rnacentral:lncRNA from 1 species
CCCCUUCCUGCAGAGAUCUCCAGCUCCUGUCAUCCCACCGUGAACCAGUCCCUGAAUGAAAUAUUCACACCUCAUUCAUACUUCUGGUUUCAGGGUUCAGAACUGUUCAGGGAUGCAGCCAUAACUUUCUCCCAGGAAGAGUGGGAGUGCCUGGAGCCUGUUCAGAGGGAUUUGUACAGAGAUGUGAUGUUGGAGAACUCCAGCCACCUGGUCUCACUGGGUAAAGUGGUGUGGUUAGUUAUCGGGUAUCCUUGGCAUAGCCCUUCCCGGUCAGUUAACCAUUGGGUGUCUUUCAAUUCCGUGUCUGGUUACUUUUGAGCUAACAAAAGGCAGCCAGUUGUUUGAAGCCAUGUUUUCUGCUACUCUUAGGUCACUAUUACAUUUUUUGUUUUGUUUUGUUGUUUGUUUUUUCUUUGUUUUGGCCCUUCCUGCAAUUAUCUCCCUACUCAGUGACAGGUCCCUGGAUCUGAAUUCCAAGGCCUCUCAGUGUAACCACCUGGUGGUUUUCUCUCCUCUUCUCCAGGUCUUGCCAUGUCCAAACCUGAUGUGAUAUCCAUCCUAGAGCAAGGUAAUGAGCCCUGGGUACAGGAAAGGGCCACAGCAGUAGUGCUGGGUUCAGCAUUGGAGUCUGGAUGUGGUACCAAGAUAACGCCCUCCAAGCAACGCACUCAUGAGGAGGACUCCCCACAGUGGGCGACAACAGAAAGCCUUCCAAGCUGCAGUCUUGAGAGCGCAAGUCUCUGAAAUGACUGGGAAGGCAAAGGCCUAUUUGAUAGACAAGCAGGCAAUCCAGCCAGAAACGCCGGGCCAGUGUUAAUCUGUCACCAAGAAAUGCCCGCAUUAAACCAGCACAUGUCUCUUACUUUUUACCAGACAAAGUCCCGUAGGUAUAAAAAACACAGAAGAGACUUCUGUAAAGAGCAGUUCCUUAUUAACCAAGAACUUGGUUACGAAUGAGAAACCCUACAAGUGUAGGCAGUGUGGGAAGGCUUUUAAAUACGGCUUGUGACUAAUCCAGCAUGAGAACAUUCAUUCGGGCAAGAAGCCUUAUGAGUGUUAAGAGUGUGGGAAGGCCUUCAAUUCUGGUUCUAAUUUCAUAGAACACCAGAGAGUUGAUACAGGCGAGAAACCUUAUGCGUGUAAAGACUGUGCUAAAGCCUUCAGUCGAAGGUCUUAGCUCAUUGAGCAUCAGAGAAUCCAUACUGGGGAGAAACCCUAUCAAUGUAAGGAGUGUGGCAAGGCCUUCAAUCGUAUCUUACAUCUCAAAGUACAUCACAGAAUCCAUAGUGGGGAAAGCCCUAUGUGUGUAAAGAGUGUGGGAAGACCUUUAGUCACAGGUCUCAGUUGACUCAACAUCACACUGUUCAUACUGGCAAGAAACUCUUUGAGUGCAAAGAGUGCGGGAAGGCUUUUAAUCAAGGGUCCAUUCUAAUCUAACACCAGAGAAUUCAUACGGGAGAGAAACUACAAGUGUAAGGCAUGUGGCAAGGUGUUUAGAGUGAACUCACAGCUUAAGCAACAUCACAGAAUUCACACUGGAGAGAAGUCGUACCAGUGUAAGGUUUGCAAAAGGGCCUUCAAGCGGGUCUCACAUCUCACAGUACAUUAUAGAAUUCAUAUGGCUGAGAAGCCGUUCGAAUGUGAGGAAUGGGAAAACGCCUUUAGUCACUGCUCACAACUGACUCAACGUCCGAUGAUCCAUUCCGAGGAAAAGCCCUACAAGCAUAAGGGAUGCCGGGAGAGCAUAAAUCAUGAUCCAACAUCCGAGCCCCGAGGCUGCGUGAUAGAGGAACACAUGUGAACAUAGUAAAUGUAGAAAAGCCAGCCCUUGGCACUUACCCACUACUAAUCAUCGGGGAAUUGGUUGGCAAGCAACCACGUGAGUGGAAGUAAUGCAAAGAGCCCAUUAGCUUAGGGUAAUCACAGGUUGUGCAUCUUCAAGGAAGGGUAGAUAAGCACGCUGCACAUGAGACACCACUAUCCCAUUUAUUCUAAAUGAAAAAAUGUGUAUGUUGUCUCCCAACACAAUCCUAGUCGUGGGAUUUUUGCGUUGUUUAAGGUUUGUUGUUUGUUUGUUUUGAGGCAAGGUCUGUCUCUGCAGCCCUAGCUGGCCUGGAGUUUGCUAUGUAAACCAGGCUGACCUGAAACUCAGAGAGAUCUGCCUGCCUCUCCCUUCAGGGUAUAUUAGAUGUGUGUGCCACAACACCCAGUUUUAGCAACAAGGAAAAGAAAGCCAAAUCAUUCUUCAUUUAGUAUUUUUUCAAACUCCAUGAACUGCAAGAAAAAGAAUGGCUUGAUACUUUUACAUGCUAAGAAAGGUAAGAUGAAGCUAUAACUAGGGUGUGGUGGCCCACACCUUGAAUCCUUGGCACUUGGAAGGCAGAAGCAGAAGGUUCUCUGAGUUCUAGCCCAGCUGGCUACACAGUGAGACCCUGUCUCCAAACAAUAACAACAACUCCAUC